CGUUCUGCGCGUGCGCGGGAGCCCCCAGAGGGAAGGGAGACAGCGGGGCGGCCUUCAGCUGAAACUGGGGAGAGAUGGAGUGGAAGGUGCUCAGAAGGUCUCCAGACUGCAGACUCUCUUUCAUCAGCUCCUAUGCGCUGACCAAAUGCUGUGCCAUUUAAGCACAAAUGGAAGGAUGGUGCUGAGCACAUGAGCAGAGCCACGGCAGCCUGAACUCCAGACCAGGGGAGAGGCAGCGUCGUGGUCCUGGGCCUGGUUCUACCCAGACAUGGGCCUCUCAGUUACCAUGAGCUUUGCUUCCUGCUUUCCCACAUCCCAAUUUAUAGAUGCAGUCUCAGGCUGGGAGAAUGUCGGAGGCACAGAUGAGGUUCCAGGAGCAUCACCAGAGCUGGGGCAUCUUCUGGAUCGCCAGACUGGCUGCGGAGAGAACAACAGUGUUCUUGUAUUAGCUUGUAUUGGACAAGAGUGCUCUUCCUCUCCUCCCAGCUCAGCAUCGACUACCCAGAAUCCACAUAUUACUUUCAAUGGCUCCAAUGCAGCACCCGAGUCUGUGUCCUCCCCUCAUGUACUUCGGGAGGUCCUUCUGCACAUAAAUCCUCCCAAGUGGCGAGGAGGCAAGCACACAGUGUUCUGAUGGUAGGUGAAGCACACUUUCCUUUUGAGACAGCUCUUUCCAUCGACUAAGGUGUGCGUUACCUACUUCAGAUCAUGACUUCAGGUCAGUGUGAGGCUCAGCCAACCAAUUCAAAGGAAAAAAAACCAAAAAUCUCCCCCAUGUGUUAGAGUGUUUUAUCGGUACAGAAAUAAAAGUCAUCUCUGCUUAUUCAAACCUUGGGCUGUCUUCACCCAUGGUUAGCAUAACAUACGUUGUUUAUCACACCUGUUUAAACUUCCAGGGGAGGAGAUGAAAUAAUUUGUAUACAUCCAAGUUAAUUUGUUUAUAAGGUUGCCAUGCUGAAGAUCUCAACAGCGUGAUGUAAACAAAAUGUGAAUAAAACCAGUUUAGUUCA